UUGACCGAGCGCACAAAAAGGAAGUAAAAAGUGGAACACUCAGAACAUAGAAGAAUGUGUGACAGUUUGUUGGGUCCGAUGACUAAGUUUCCAUCUUUUCUAUGUCUUCUCUCGCAGUGAAAAGAAACUCUGUUUCUGACACACUUUCCAGCAAGGCUUAAUUCCACUGAAAGCAGUGCCUUGGAGAAAAUACCUGCUUUGCUAGCUACCUAAGAUCAAGGCCUAGCUUGGAUACCCAGAAAAUGAACUAAGA